rnacentral:rRNA from 1 species
GAUGAACGCUGGCGGCGUGCCUAAUACAUGCAAGUCGAACGAACAGACGACGAACUUUCUUGUCUAGCGUUGGCGGCGGGCGUGUUGGUAACACAUGGGUACCCUACCGGUGGAACUCUGAUAACUUCGGUAGACCAUACCGAAUACCUGCUAAUAUUUUGAACCGCAUGGUGCAAUAGCUAAAGACGUUGUUGCUGUCGCUUAUAGAUUGAUCCGCGUCUCAUUAGCUAGUUGGUAAGGUAACGGCUUACCAAGUCAACGAUGCGUAGCCGACCUGAGAGGGCGAUCGGCCACACUGGAACUGAGACACGGCCCAGACUCCUACGGGAGGCAGCAGUAGGGAAUUUUGGACAAUGGGCGAAAGCCUGAUGGAGCAACGCCGCGUGCGUGAAGAAGGUCUUCGGAUCGUAAACCUCUGUUAUUCGGAACGAAACAACGUGGAUGAAUACCCGCACGUAAUGACGGUACCUAAAGAGAAAGCCCCGGCUAACUACGUG